UACGGAGGAUCCAAGCGUUAUCCGGCUUUAUUGGGUUUAAAGGGUGCGUAGGUGGCCUGGUAAGUCAGGGGUGAAAGACGGUAGCUUAACUAUCGCAGUGCCUUUGAUACUGCCGGGCUUGAAUAAACUAGAGGUAGGCGGAAUGUGACAAGUAGCGGUGAAAUGCAUAGAUAUGUCACAGAACACCGAUUGCGAAGGCAGCUUACUAUGGUUUUAUUGACACUGAGGCACGAAAGCGUGGGGAUCAAACAGG
rnacentral:rRNA from 1 species